rnacentral:tRNA from 1 species
GGAUGUAGCCUAGUGGCUAAGGCAUCUGGUUUGGGACCAGAGGAUCGGGGGUUCAAAUCCCUCCAUCC